ensembl:lncRNA
GAGCCCAGCUAAAAUCAAUUCCCCCAGACCCGGUAAUCUCCUUUUUACCCAGGAGUGAAGCCUGCCGCCAUAUUCUGCCCACAGACUGCUUUAUACCUCGGGGUGCACUCCAGGACCUUACUUCACCUUCCGGUGGCUGCAGACAUUCCUCAGCUUGUGGCUACGUCACUCCAGUCUUCAAGGACUGCCUGGUGAAUGGGGUUCUAGAGAAGGAGAAAGGGAGGAAAAACCCAGAGGAUUUUCACAUUGCCUUUGAGCAUCAGGAGUACCUUUUUCCGACCCUCAAGCAAGAACCUGUAGGCUUCCUGUCUGUCUGCUUCACAGUGCUCACUUGUGGGUUUCUGGCUGUGUCCCAGCUUGAUCACAACAAGGAUGAGAAAACUCUCCCACCUGACAUGGAGGAGGAACUGAUGAUGGAAGCUUGACAUCUACUCAGGGUUGAGGAAGAAGGUGGUUUUCUCUCUCUCUCUCUGCUUUUCCUUUGAUUAUAAAACUGUAGUCCACUGAGUUCUUGGGGCACAGCUCCCUCUUGUCCUUUUGCUUUUAAGCCUCACAAGCAUCCUAUUCUAAUAAAUCAUUUCUCAUCUUUCAC